UAGAUACCCUGGUAGUCCUAGCUGUAAACGAUGAGCACUGGAUCGGAGGGACCCUCAUAUCCUUCUGGUCGAACCGAAAGAGUUAAGUGCUCUGCCUGGGGAGUAUGGUCGCAAGGCUGAAACUCAAAGGAAUUGACGGGGGCUCACACAAGCGGUGGAGGAUGUGGCUUAAUUCGAGGCUACGCGAAGAACCUUAUCCUAGUCUUGACAUGCACGGAUUAACUCUUGGAAACAGGAGCCAGGCCUCGGG
rnacentral:rRNA from 1 species